GAGAUUGUGGCUCAGGGGCAGAGCCCUUGCCUAGCACGCAUGAGGCCCUGGGUUCUAUCCCCAACACUGCCA
rnacentral:tRNA from 1 species